rnacentral:lncRNA from 1 species
GAAGAAUAAUAAGAAUAAGACUUUACUUGUUUUUAUAUUUUAUUAUGUAACAAAAUAAAAAACGAUAUAUUCUUUCAUUUUUAUUGAACAAAAAAAAUGAGCAGUUUUAAAUUCUAUAAGAUUAAAUAAAAUUUUUAUUGAUCAUUUGAUAUAAUUGUUAUGUUUAGUAUGUGAUUUGUUGGGAUUUUAAGUUUAGAAUUCUAAAAAAUUGACGAACCACAAUAUAAUUUAGUAACUAAAGCAUUAAUAACCAACUUAUCACUUGGGAUUAUUUAGAUCCAAAAAGGCAAACAAGAUAUGAUAUAUUGGUCAU